rnacentral:rRNA from 1 species
AGAGUUUGAUCCUGGCUCAGAUUGAACGCUGGCGGCAUGCUUUACACAUGCAAGUCGAACGGCAGCACGGGUGCUUGCACCUGGUGGCGAGUGGCGAACGGGUGAGUAAUGCACCGGAACGUACCCAGUAAUGGGGGAUAACACAUCGAAAGAUGUGCUAAUACCGCAUACGCCCUGAGGGGGAAAGCGGGGGAUCGUAAGACCUCGCGUUAUUGGAGCGGCCGAUGCCGGAUUAACUAGUUGGUGAGGUAAGAGCUCACCAAGGCGACGAUCCGUAGCUGGUCCGAGAGGACGACCAGCCACACUGGGACUGAGACACGGCCCAGACUCCUACGGGAGGCAGCAGUGGGGAAUUUUGGACAAUGGCGCAAGCCUGAUCCAGCCAUGCCGCGUGAGUGAAGAAGGCCUUCGGGUUGUAAAGCUCUUUCGCAAGGAAAGAAAACUUAUCUACUA